AUGGCUUCAUUAGAAUCCGGUCCCACGGUGAAGCCCUCCGUGUCUCUGCUCCCCCCCUCCUCUCUGCAGCUGUCUGAGGGAUCGGCCUCGCUGCUCUGCCUGCUGUCUGCCUACUCUCCACAGGGGGCGCUGGUGAGCUGGACAGUGGACGGCUCCCAGGUGAAGGACGGGGUUCUGACCAGCGCAGAAGAACAGAAGAAGGACGGUUACACACGCAGCAGCACCCUGACCCUCAGCAAAGCACUCUGGGAAAAGGGGGAGGAGUUUGUCUGUACGGUCUCCCAUGCCGGCGUCAAUCAUCCGGUCACGUUCAGAAAGAGCCAGUGUGAAGCCUAA